AUUGAACGCUGGCGGCAGGCUUAACACAUGCAAGUCGAGCGGGGUGAUGGUGCUUGCACUAUCACUUAGCGGCGGACGGGUGAGUAAUGCUUAGGAAUCUGCCUAUUAGUGGGGGACAACAUCUCGACAGGGAUGCUAAUACCGCAUACGUCCUACGUGAGAAAGCAGGGGAUCACUGGUGACCUUGCGCUAAUAGAUGAGCCUAAGUCGGAUUAGCUAGUUGGUGGGGUAAAGGCCUACCAAGGCGACGAUCUGUAGCGGGUCUGUGAGGAUGAUCCGCCACACUGGGACUAAGACACGGCCCAGACUCCUACGGGAGGCAGCAGUGGGGAAUAUUGGACAAUGGGGGGAACCCUGAUCCAGCCAUGCCGCGUGUGUGAAGAAGGCCUUAUGGUUGUAAAGCACUUUAAGCGAGGAGGAGGCUCUUUUGGUUAAUACCCAAGAUGAGUGGACGUUACUCGCAGAAUAAGCACCGGCUAACUCUGUGCCAGCCGCCGCGGUAACAC
rnacentral:rRNA from 1 species